UCCUCGGCCCGGAAUCGAUCCAGACCUCAACACUCCAGGAAUCGUUCUGGCGGCGCGAGAGGCGGAGGCGAGGCGGCCUGGCGACGCGAGAGGCGGAGGCGGCCUGGCGGCGUGAGUCCAGUGGAGACGGAGGCGGCUGCGGCUGCGGCUGCGGCUGGCGGAUUCGGCUCCUGGCGACGGCGCGACCUCCUUCUCGCCGGAAGUGUGCUAAUGCUUGAGUUCGUAUGGUGCGCCUUCUCGUCUUUGGCUUCCUAGAAGAAACGUCUUGUGAUUGAUUUUAACGUGUAAAUGAGAAGAUGCCUACAUGCAUGUAACAUGUGGUUCAAAUUUUAUAUUUCACAGUGUAGUUUGGAUGUAAUUUCUGAAUUAGAAGAUUUUCAUGGAUGAGUGGAAACACUUUGGUUCUCAUUUGGUGUCAGGACCGAACAUUUGUUGGAGCCAUGAUUGGUCUCCUUUGUACAGCUGACUUCAGUUUUGUUUUGUUUUUUCUUUUGCUA